AUUGAACGCUGGCGGCAGGCCUAACACAUGCAAGUCGAGCGAGCGGCGGACGGGUGAGUAAUGUCUGGGAAACUGCCCGCUGGAGGGGGAUAACUACUGGAAAAGGUAGCUAAUACCGCAUACCAUCAGAUGUGCCCAGAUGGGAUGAGCUAGUAGGUGGGGUAACGGCUCACCUAGGCGACGAUCCCUAGCUGGUCUGAGAGGAUGACCAGCCACACGGGAACUGAGACGCGGUCCAGACUCCUACGGGAGGCAGCAGUGGGGAAUAUUGCACAAUGGGCGCAAGCCUGAUGCAGCCAUGCCGCGUGUGUGAAGAAGGCCUUCGGGUUGUAAAGCACGUUCAUCGGGGAUGCGUUACCCGCAGAAGAAGCACCGGCUAACUCCGUGCCAGCAGCCGCGGUAAUUC
rnacentral:rRNA from 1 species